GACGAACGCUGGCGGCCUGCUUAACACAUGCAAGUCGAACGGAAAGGCCCUGCUUUUGUGGGGUGCUCGAGUGGCGAACGGGUGAGUAACACGUGAGUAACCUGCCCUUGACUUUGGGAUAACUUCAGGAAACUGGGGCUAAUACCGGAUAGGAGCUCCUGCUGCAUGGUGGGGGUUGGAAAGUUUCGGCGGUUGGGGAUGGACUCGCGGCUUAUCAGCUUGUUGGUGGGGUAGUGGCUUACCAAGGCCUUGACGGGUAGCCGGCCUGAGAGGGUGACCGGCCACAUUGGGACUGAGAUACGGCCCAGACUCCUACGGGAGGCAGCAGUGGGGAAUAUUGCACAAUGGGCGGAAGCCUGAUGCAGCAACGCCGCGUGCGGGAUGACGGCCUUCGGGUUGUAAACCGCUUUCGCCUGUGACGAAGCGUGAGUGACGGUAAUGGGUAAAGAAGCACCGGCUAACUACGUG
rnacentral:rRNA from 1 species